GGGGAUUUAGCUCAGUGGUUGUGGCUCCUGCCUUGGAAGCAGCAAGGGCCCAAGUUCAAUCCCCA
rnacentral:tRNA from 1 species